rnacentral:tRNA from 1 species
GAGGGUACAGCUCAGCGGUAGAGUGCGUGCUUAGCAUGCACAAGGUCCUGGGUUCAAUCCCCAGUAACUCCA